AUAUUGGUCAAUGGGCGAGAGCCUGAACCAGCCAAGUAGCGUGAGUGAAGAAGUAUUUCGGUAUGUAAAGCUCUAUCAGCAGGGAAGAAGAAAGACGGUACCUGACUAAGAAGCCCCGGCUAACUACGUGCCAGCAGCCGCGGUAAUACGUAGGGGGCAAGCGUUAUCCGGAUUUACUGGGUGUAAAGGGAGCGUAGACGGCGAAGCAAGUCUGAAGUGAAAGCCCGGGGCUCAACCGCGGGACUGCUUUGGAAACUGUUUUGCUAGAGUGCUGGAGAGGUAAGUGGAAUUCCUAGUGUAGCGGUGAAAUGCGUAGAUAUUAGGAGGAACACCAGUGGCGAAGGCGGCUUACUGGACAGUAACUGACGUUGAGGCUCGAAAGCGUGGGGAGCGAAA
rnacentral:rRNA from 1 species